UGGAUGAACGCUGGCGGCGUGCUUAACACAUGCAAGUCGAACGGUGAAAGAGAGCUUGCUCUCUGGAUCAGUGGCGAACGGGUGAGUAACACGUGAGCAACCUGCCCCAGACUCUGGGAUAACAGUUGGAAACAGCUGCUAAUACCGGAUACGAGACGGAGAGGCAUCUCUACCGUCUGGAAAGUUUUUCGGUCUGGGAUGGACUCGCGGCCUAUCAGCUAGUUGGUGAGGUAAUGGCUCACCAAGGCGACGACGGGUAGCCGGCCUGAGAGGGCGACCGGCCACACUGGGACUGAGACACGGCCCAGACUCCUACGGGAGGCAGCAGUGGGGAAUAUUGCACAAUGGGCGAAAGCCUGAUCCAGCGACGCCGCGUGGAGGACGAAGCCCUUCGGGGUGUAAACUCCUUUUCUCAGGGAAAAAGGAUGAUGGUACCUGAGGAAUAAGCCCCGGCUAACUACGUG
rnacentral:rRNA from 1 species